CCUACGGGAGGCAGCAGUAGGGAAUAUUGGACAAUGGACGCAAGUCUGAUCCAGCCAUCCCGCGUGAAGGAUUAAGGCCCUAUGGGUUGUAAACUUCUUUUCUUUGGGAAUAAAAAGCGGUAUUCAUAUCGCCUUGAAGGUACCAGAGGAAUAAGCACCGGCUAACUCCGUGCCAGCAGCCGCGGUAAUACGGAGGGUGCAAGCGUUAUCCGGAUUCACUGGGUUUAAAGGGUGCGUAGGUGGCUUUGUAAGUCAGCGGUGAAAGCCUGGAGCUCAACUCCAGAAUUGCCAUUGAUACUGCAGAGCUUGAAUCAAGUUGAGGUGGAUGGAAUAUUACAUGUAGCGGUGAAAUGCUUAGAUAUGUAAUAGAACACCGAUUGCGAAGGCAGUUCACUAAGCUUGUAUUGACACUGAGGCACGAAAGCGUGGGGAUCAAACAGGAUUAGAUACCCUGGUAGUCCACGCCCUAAACGAUGCAAACUCGACAUUAGCGAUAUACAGUUAGUGUCCAAGCGAAAGCGUUAAGUUUGCCACCUGGGAAGUACGACCGCAAGGUUGAAACUCAAAUGAUAGAGNGNGAGAGNGCGAGGACGACACGAGGGAGGAGG
rnacentral:rRNA from 1 species